GUGCUCAUUUCGGCAGUAUAUGUAUUAAAAUUGGAAUCAUACAAACAGGAUUAGCAUGGUUCCAGCACAAAGAUGACACACAAAUUCUUGAAGGAUUCCAUAUGUUU